UCCCCAACUUCCCGCCUUUUUGACCGUUAGUGCUCAGGACCUGUCAACCCCGCUCUGCCCGCCCUAUUCUCAGUCGACCAGGCGCUGCCUCCUCAGCCCCCAACAGGAGGAAUGGCCCCCAGGCCCUCAGUGUCACCCACCUUCCAGGUCAUUUUUUUUUUUGUUAGGCAGAUGGUGCACCACAGUCACCGAGUUCUGGACCUGGAGUCAGGAAGACAAGUCCAAAUUCAGCCUCCAGCUCUAUGACCCUGGACAAAUCACUUCAC